GUAACCUGGUGACAAGCUGUCGACAUUAGAAAGUGCUGAAUUCAAGCUUGUUUGGGAUUUCCUUACUUAUCCCUGUAGGGUGUAUUACCCUCUUCAACUACAUCUCUCCACUGAGCAUAGAUGAAAUAUAAGUAAAUAUGCUUUUAAAUUUGAGGCCUAAAUUUCAGUGGGAUGAAUUUGGAUCUGAGUACUUGUACUAGAUAGGCUCAUCCAAGACAGGUCCAACAGGCAGAUACGACGCAUGAUACAGAGGAUUCCUUAUCCUUUCUUCAUUUAGCUGAACAUGGUGACUUUAAGGGGUAAGGGACAAUGGUGAAAAGCUCCUGCUGGAUGCAGAAGGACAGAGGUGUCACUGAGGUCUAUGCCCUGUGUCAAAACUGCUUCCAAAAAGGAAAAAAAGAAGACUCCCUUCUGAAGGCCAGAUAUGCAGAGGGAUCACCUUAGGGAGCUCUUCUGCUUCCCUAGAAACCAGGAUGAAGAUGAGAAGAGAAGGUUUGCCACCAGGUAAGGCACACCAUUGUUUGAAGGACAGUGUGCUGGCAUGAUCCUUCAGUCUGCCGUCUCAGUGGAGACAGGGGAUGGAGAACCAUGCAGCAACAAAGAUGCCAGGGAUAUUGGUUUGUUAGAACCCAUGGAAUUGUCUAAGACAUCGUUUGUUAGAAACCAUGGAGGUGUCUAAGGCUGAUAUUCAAAUGCUACCAGAAGUGUGGUGGCAUCAAUAGCCCAACAGAAGAGCACCUACACCAAUGCACAUAGAAUGAGGAAAAAACCCCCAAAACUAGAGGAGCUGGAAGCUUCUCUGCAGCAGGAAAAUACAGAUGCUAUCAUAGAAACAUGGUGGUUGACUCACAACUGGAGUGCUGCUGUGGCUACAGAGGGUUCAGAAGGAAUAAGCAAGGACAAAGAGGCAACAGGCUGCUGGAACAAAUGAAAAUAUUAAAACCGAGACAGUAAGAAAUUCACAAGGAGGACACAAUAAAUUUGAAAGUAAUUUUUUCAUUAAUAAUGGAGAAAUCUCAGAAUAAUUUUACUGUACAAGUCAUUUGCCUUGAGGGAAACUCUGAAUAUUGGACUAUUUGAGAGAAGCCUAUAUAUCGGACUAAGUUAGUAAAUCUCAAAGCUGGUGAAGGUCAGUGACCAAAUUCAUCAACUCCCAUCAACUCUGAUGAUGCAAGGACCUAGAAGCCUGCACAGGAUCCUGACCCAUUCUGGACCGGCAAAUCCUAAAAUUCAAGAUCCUAGCUGCAGGAUUAUACAGCAAAUAUUAAAGCAAUACAUUAUUUCCAACUCAAAUAAAUAAGCUG